rnacentral:lncRNA from 1 species
UAAAGCCUAACUGAAUUCAAAUCAUUAACUCAAACAAUGGGAAGGAGAAGGGAUUGCCGGAGUUGGAAGAGAAGGCGGCAGAUCAGAUGCCUUCGAUCCGGGGAAAACCGUACAAAGAUCCAGUGGAAUGAUGGAGAUGAGAGAACACAUUGUACGUGAGAGUGUAUUUAUAUCGAGAAGGCUAAGAUCAUGCGCGAGAAGGUCAAACAAUGAAGGCG